UUGGGACAAUGAUAAAAGAGGUCAUUUUAAAGUACUUUAUGAUAAUCCAGACACCACAAAUGUCCCUCUGAUAAUUAAGGUCACCUAUUAACAACCUACCACUAAAGUUAAACUUAAUUACAAAAACUGCCACUGCUGGCUCUCGCUCCCUCCCUUCCGUUAAUAUGUUAUCCGUUCAGAUUCAACCCUUUACCAAAAUCUCUCUCUCUCCACAAACCCUUACCAUCCCAACCUCCUUGACCGCGACUCCUUAAGACCUUCCUCGACUUCUCCGACUCGCCGCCCUUCACCAUCGAUCUCUCCUUCGAGUGGAUCCUCGACUCCGUGACUCCGACACCGAUCAGAUCAAGCUCAUUGAUCGCACCCUGCAGUUGGGAUCGGUGCUCCUCGAGGCCGGUAAGAGCUCGGCGAGACGACAAGCCUCCAAGCACAACUCCAUCUCCUGGGCUCUCCCUCUCGACCUCACCAUCAAGGGAUGUGAUGGGUCAGUUUUGCUUGAUGGAUCAGCGAGUGGUCCAAGUGAGCAGGAGGCACCUCCAAACCUGAGUUUGAGGGCCACGGCCUUCGAAAUCAUCAAUGACCUCCGUGAGCUAGCUCAUAGCAAAUGUGGGAGGGUUUGUUUCUUGUGCUGAUAUAGCUGCUCUUGCUGCUAGGGAUUCUGUUUUCCUGGUGGUUCGCAAAGCGUUUCUUACAUCCUGAUAUAGUUGAUCAAUAUAGUCGCAUUCUUCUACGGGAUGAGGACCUUGGAGUUGACAAUUUCAAUCCUCAACGGUACUGUAGCUGCAUUUCCAAUAAGCAAAGUUAGGAUGCUUGCUUGCAUUUGAACUACUGUAAAACUCUGUUGCUCAAACUCUAUAUUGUUCUUCUUCUACAACACUUCUAGGUAUGUGUCCAUUGUUCGAAAGGAAGGGCUUGAAAUAUCACAACCGGCACUUGAUUUUUCCAAGACAGAGGUGAACUACAUGGAGAAACUUUCGAAAGAGGAGGGGAUUCAGAAGAAACUCAGCAAGGAUAUUUUGCAAUAUAA